GGCAUUGAAAUCUCUUGAGCACAUAUUUAUCACCUUCCCUGGUCACAGAAGAUUCAUCCAUAUCAAGGAGGAGUUCUACAAGAUUGCAGCUUUUCCUAAUGUAAUUGGUACAGUGGAUUGCACCCAUAUUCGUAUCCAACGCCCCUCAGGGGCACAUGAGGGAGAUUAUGUUAACAGGAAAUCCUUCCACAGUGUCAAUGUUCAGAUGAUCUGUGAUGCUGACUGCCUUA